UUGAACGCUGGCGGUAUGCUUUACACAUGCAAGUCGAACGGGCUAUGGGGCUUGCUCCAUAGUUAGUGGCGAACGGGUGAGUAAUAUAUCGGAACAUAUCCGGAAGUGGGGGAUAACGUAGCGAAAGUUACGCUAAUACCGCAUAUGCCCUGAGGGGGAAGGGGGGGGAUCGCAAGACCUCUCGCUUUCGGAGUGGCCGAUAUCGGAUUAGCUAGUAGGUGAGGUAAAGGCUCACCUAGGCGACGAUCCGUAGCUGGUCUGAGAGGACGACCAGCCACACUGGAACUGAGACACGGUCCAGACUCCUACGGGAGGCAGCAGUGGGGAAUUUUGGACAAUGGGCGCAAGCCUGAUCCAGCAAUGCCGCGUGCAGGAAGAAGGCCUUCGGGUUGUAAACUGCUUUUGUACGGAACGAAAAGGUCUGGGUUAAUACCCUGGGCCCAUGACGGUACCGUAAGAAUAAGCACCGGCUAACUACGU
rnacentral:rRNA from 1 species